rnacentral:lncRNA from 1 species
ACCCUGAGGAGCCAGCUGGCGCAGGCUAUGGGCUGGGCGGCGGUUGAGACAGCGGCGGUAUCGGGAGGGGUAGGUGAGGGUCGCGAGGCUGCGUGAGCAUCUGAGUGAACGCGGUGCUUUUGGGAACGCGGGACGGGCGACCUGUGGCGCCAGGAGCGGGCCGAGGCGUGGCGCACGGAUGCCGUCUGGAUGGGAAGUUACGGUUUACAGCGAAGUCCACCCAGCGUUUCCGAGGUGAAGGCGCCGCGCCAGGCCGGGCGGGCGGCAAUCUGAAAGCAAAUCCUGUUUAGAUGCAGGCGAAGGUUCCUGGUGACCCAGGCUCUCACCUUACCGUCCCUUACCGUCCUCCUGAGGGUGUCCUGGAGCUUCAGUGCUGUGUGUUCUUGGCCUCCACGCUGGGGCUGCCACCAACUCCCACUGUCCAGGGCUUCCAGUGGACUCUCCGAGGUACUGAUGUAGAAACUUCCCCAUUCGGUGCACCAAGAGCAACCUCACACGGUGUGGGCUGAAUGAAGAGCUGCCAGAUCCCACAGGUGGCAAGGGCUCUGGAACAGCCACAUAAAGCCCUUGAAGAUAAGGAUGGUCAAACAAAAUAAUAUCAUACCUGGAGAAACUCAGAUCUUGGUAAGAUUUACUGGUUGGGAAUCCAAAGUUAAUGCCAAGAAGCAGCCGCCAGUUGGGAUCAAAUGUGAGCCUAUGGAUCAAG